AUCGGGAUAACACCUGGAAACAGAUGCUAAUACCGGAUAAUAACAGAUGAUGCCUAUCAACUGUUUAAAAGAUGGUUCUGCUAUCACUCUUGGAUGGACCUGCGGUGCAUUAGCUAGUUGGUAGGGUAACGGCCUACCAAGGCGAUGAUGCAUAGCCGAGUUGAGAGACUGAUCGGCCACAUUGGGACUGAGACACGGCCCAAACUCCUACGGGAGGCAGCAGCU
rnacentral:rRNA from 1 species